rnacentral:rRNA from 1 species
AGUUCCGACCCGCACGAAAGGCGUAACGAUUUGGGCACUGUCUCAACGAGAGACUCGGUGAAAUCAUAGUACCUGUGAAGAUGCAGGUUACCCGCGACAGGACGGAAAGACCCCGUGGAGCUUUACUGUAGCCUGAUAUUGAAAUUCGGCACAGCUUGUACAGGAUAGGUAGGAGCCUUUGAAACGUGAGCGCUAGCUUACGUGGAGGCGCUGGUGGGAUACUACCCUAGCUGUGUUGGCUUUCUAACCCGCACCACUUAUCGUGGUGGGAGACAGUGUCAGGCGGGCAGUUUGACUGGGGCGGUCGCCUCCUAAAAGGUAACGGAGGCGCUCAA